rnacentral:rRNA from 1 species
AUUGAACGCUGGCGGCAGGCCUAACACAUGCAGGUCGAACGGUAACAGGAAGCAGCUUGCUGCUUUGCUGACGAGUGGCGGACGGGUGAGUAAUGUCUGGGAAACUGCCUGAUGGAGGGGGAUAACUACUGGAAACGGUAGCUAAUACCGCAUAACGUCGCAAGACCAAAGAGGGGGACCUUCGGGCCUCUUGCCAUCGGAUGUGCCCAGAUGGGAUUAGCUAGUAGGUGGGGUAACGGCUCACCUAGGCGACGAUCCCUAGCUGGUCUGAGAGGAUGACCAGCCACACUGGAACUGAGACACGGUCCAGACUCCUACGGGAGGCAGCAGUGGGGAAUAUUGCACAGUGGGCGCAAGCCUGAUGCAGCCAUGCCGCGUGUAUGAAGAAGGCCUUCGGGUUGUAAAGUACUUUCAGCGGGGAGGAAGGGAGUAAAGUUAAUACCUUUGCUCAUUGACGUUACCCGCAGAAGAAGCACCGGCUAACUCCGUG